rnacentral:rRNA from 1 species
ACGUAGGGGGCAAGCGUUGUCCGGAUUUAUUGGGCGUAAAGAGCGUGUAGGCGGCCAUGCAGGUCAGCUGUGAAAACUCGAGGCUCAACCUCGAGACGUCGGUUGAAACCGUAUGGCUAGAGUCCGGAAGAGGAGAGUGGAAUUCCCGGUGUAGCGGUGAAAUGCGCAGAUAUCGGGAAGAACACCCGUGGCGAAGGCGGCUACCUGGACAGGUACUGACGCUGAAGCGCGAAAGCUAGGGGAGCAAACAGGA